AACGCGAAGAACCUUACCCAGGCUUGACAUGCAGUGGACAGUUCCAGAGAUGGAAUCUCCCGCAAGGGCCGCUGCACAGGUGCUGCAUGGCUGUCGUCAGCUCGUGCCGUGAGGUGUUGGGUUAAGUCCCGCAACGAGCGCAACCCUUAUCAUUAGUUGCCAACACGUGAAGGUGGGAACUCUAAUGAGACUGCCCGGGUUAACCGGGAGGAAGGUGAGGAUGACGUCAAGUCCGCAUGGCCCUUAUGUCUGGGGCUACACACGUGCUACAAUGGUCGGUACAGAAGGCAGCGAAACCGCGAGGUGAAGCAAAUCCCUAAAGCCGGCCUCAGUUCAGAUUGUAGUCUGCAACUCGACUACAUGAAGACGGAAUUGCUAGUAAUGGCGAGUCAGCAACAUCGCCGUGAAUACGUUCCCGGGCCUUGUACACACCGCACGA
rnacentral:rRNA from 1 species